AUUGAACGCUGGCGGCAGGCCUAACACAUGCAAGUCGAGCGGAAACGAGUUAUCUAAACCUUCGGGGAACAAUAACGGCGUCGAGCGGCGGACGGGUGAGUAAUGCCUAGGAAAUUGCCCUGAUGUGGGGGAUAACCAUUGGAAACGAUGGCUAAUACCGCAUGAUGCCUACGGGCCAAAGAGGGGGACCUUCGGGCCUCUCGCGUCAGGAUAUGCCUAGGUGGGAUUAGCUAGUUGGUGAGGUAAGGGCUCACCAAGGCAACGAUCCCUAGCUGGUCUGAGAGGAUGAUCAGCCACACUGGAACUGAGACACGGUCCAGACUCCUACGGGAGGCAGCAGUGGGGAAUAUUGCACAAUGGGCGCAAGCCUGAUGCAGCCAUGCCGCGUGUGUGAAGAAGGCCUUCGGGUUGUAAAGCACUUUCAGUCGUGAGGAAGGUAGUGUGUUUAAUAGAUGCAUUAUUUGACGUUAGCGACAGAAGAAGCACCGGCUAACUCCGUGCCAGCAGCCGCGGUAAUACGGAGGGUGCGAGCGUUAAUCGGAAUUACUGGGCGUAAAGCGCAUGCAGGUGGUUUGUUAAGUCAGAUGUGAAAGCCCGGGGCUCAACCUCGGAAUAGCAUUUGAAACUGGCAGACUAGAGUACUGUAGAGGGGGGUAGAAUUUCAGGUGUAGCGGUGAAAUGCGUAGAGAUCUGAAGGAAUACCGGUGGCGAAGGCGGCCCCCUGGACAGAUACUGACACUCAGAUGCGAAAGCGUGGGGAGCAAACAGG
rnacentral:rRNA from 1 species